rnacentral:rRNA from 1 species
UACGUAGGGUCCGAGCGUUGUCCGGAAUUAUUGGGCGUAAAGGGCUCGUAGGCGGUUCGUCACGUCGGGAGUGAAAACUCGGGGCUUAACCCCGAGCCUGCUUCCGAUACGGGCAGACUAGAGGUAUGCAGGGGAGAACGGAAUUCCUGGUGUAGCGGUGAAAUGCGCAGAUAUCAGGAGGAACACCGGUGGCGAAGGCGGUUCUCUGGGCAUUACCUGACGCUGAGGAGCGAAAGUGUGGGGAGCGAACAGG